GAUGAACGCUGGCGGCGUGCCUAACACAUGCAAGUCGAGCGAUUUACUUCGGUAAAGAGCGGCGGGCGGGUGAGUAACGCGUGGGUAACCUGCCCUGUACACACGGAUAACAUACCGAAAGGUAUGCUAAUACGAGAUAAUAUACUUUUAUCGCAUGGUAGAAGUAUCAAAGCUUUUGGGGUACAGGAUGGACCGGCGUCUGAUUAGCUAGUUGGUAAGGUAACGGCUUACCAAGGCGACGAUCAGUAGCCGACCUGAGAGUGUGAUCGGCCACAUUGUAACUGAGACACGGUCCAAGCUCGUACGGGAGGCAGCAGUGGGGAAUAUUGCACAACGGGCGAACGCCUGAUGCAGCAACGCCGCGUGAGCGAUGAAGGCCUUCGGAUCGUAAAGCUCUGUCCUCAAGGAAGAUAAUGACGGUACUUGAGGAGGAAGCCCCGGCUAACUACGUGCCAGCAGCCGCGGUAAUAC
rnacentral:rRNA from 1 species